UUUACCAUUUUGGUAUGUUUAGGAAGGCCAUGUUCUGUUUCUCGUCCAUUAUUUGUGCAGGGAAUCCCUUGAUAGCACUUUUCGAAACUCAAAACAAAAAGAUUAGAAGCAAGGUGCUACUUGAUUUACAAAACGUAAAAUGCUGCUGGUUGUGCACUAUGUACUGGCUGAACUACUUCGAUUCUAUUCUACUUAUAUGCUGACCGGGGUACCACAAAAGUGGCAAAUUGGGUGGCGAAGGUAUUAAGCAACUUACAAUAUCAGGCAUUGAUGGCCUCACAAAAGAUGCUGUAAGAAUUUUACAGUUGUUUUAUCGAUUUAAUUUACAAUACAGCGUUGGCAGGCCGAGAAAGUUACAGAUUUUUGUAUGUAAAAUUAACAUUAAGUUGAUCCAUCGUUAUAUAUGGACGAUAAUAUUAUUUCAGAUGGAUUAUCUAUCGACCCUGCAAAUGCGCGUUGGUUGGCCUGGAAAGUUACAGACUUUUGGUAGUAAAAUUCUUGAACUUUACAUUGAUCCACCGUUAUAUAUAGAUGAUUUU